rnacentral:lncRNA from 1 species
GCCGCUUCGGCCCCCGAGCCUCCCUGAGCUCGCUGCCUGGGCGGUCUAGUUCCCCACCAAGAAGGCGCUUUGUGCAGGAGCCACUAGGCUCCCACCGGCGUCCUCCCCUUCCUAGAGACAGAGGACAUCUUGCCUCGCUAAGUCCCCCGGGUCCUUGGUGAGGAAGGCUGGGCCACAUGUGCCCGGGUACAGACACAUGGUGAGGGUGUACUGGGGGAUGUAGGGGUGCGGUACCGCGCCUUCAGAGUAUGUGCGUGGGUUGGAGAACAAAGCGUGCGUAAGUUGGGUCCCUGCCUGGGUCUAGAGGAAACUUCCUGCCCAGUGCAAGACGGACGCAGAGCUGGAGGAGUGGUGAGUCCGCCUGGCACGAAUUCACUGGGAUCAGGGAUUCCUCAUUCGAAGCUGGGACCUGUCCCGGGCCUGCUGCUCUCCUCUUCACCUUCAGUCUCCACCUGCGGCCUCACUGUGAUCUCAACCCGCCAAUACCCCAGGAGCCCAGAUAAUUUCUUUCGACUCUUUACUUCCUCUCUUUUUUGUGCCUGGGAUCCUGACCUCGGCACCAGCCUGUUUGGGAGUGACCCGCUAUCCCACCCGCUGCUAGGGAAGGAUUGACAUUUUAAGAUGUGAUGGUAUUGGAUUUUGGUAUUUUUACAAUAUGUGCAACCAUCACUACUGUCAAUUUUAGAACAUUUUCAUCACCUCAAAAAGAAAUCUCGAUCCCCCAGCCUUCUAUCUCCUCAAACCCCCAGCCCUAAGCAACCACUAAUCUACUCUCUGUCUCUAUGGAUUUCCCUAUCCUGGAUACUUCAUAUAAAUGGAAUCAUAUCAUCUGUGGUUUUCGUGCCUAGCUUCUUUUAUUAGCAUAAUGUUUCAAAUUUCAUCCAUGUUGUAGCGUGUAUCAGUACUUCAUUUCUUUUUCUGACUGAAGAAUAUUUCAUUGUAUGAUUAGCUCACUUUUUG